GACGAACGCUGACGGCGUGCUUAACACAUGCAAGUCGAAGGGAGUGGCGAACGGGUGAGUCACACGUGAGUAACCUGCCCAUUUCUUUGGGAUAAGCCUGGGAAACUGGGUCUAAUACUGGAUGGAUUGGGAUGGGCUCGCGGCUUAUCAGCUUGUUGGUGGGGUGAUGGCUUACCAAGGCUUUGACGGGUAGCCGGCCUGUGAGGGUGGUCGGUCACAUGGGGGCGGAGAUACGGCCCAGAAUGCUCCGGGAGGAAGCAGUGGGGGAUAUUGCACAAUGGACGAAAGGCUGAUGCAGCGACGUCGUGUGGGGGAUGAAGGCCUUCGGGUUGUAAACUCCUUUCGCCCGCGGAAUGGUAGUGGGUAAAGAAGCGCCGGCUAACGACGUGCCAGCAGCCGCGGUAAUAC
rnacentral:rRNA from 1 species